AGGGUGCCUUAGACAACGGCGCUG
rnacentral:siRNA from 1 species